rnacentral:rRNA from 1 species
UACGGGGGGGGGCAAGCGUUGUUCGGAAUUACUGGGCGUAAAGAGCUCGUAGGUGGUUUGUCGCGUCGACUGUGAAAACCCGAGGCUUAACCUCGGGCCUGCAGUCGAUACGGGCAGACUAGAGUUCGGUAGGGGAGACUGGAAUUCCUGGUGUAGCGGUGAAAUUCGUAGAUAUUGGGAAGAACACCGAUGGCGAAGGCAGCCAUCUGGACCGACACUGACGCUGAGGCGCGAAAGCGUGGGGAGCAAACAGG